AUUGAACGCUGGCGGCAUGCCUUACACAUGCAAGUCGAACGGUAACAGGUCUUCGGAUGCUGACGAGUGGCGAACGGGUGAGUAAUACAUCGGAACGUGCCUAGUAGUGGGGGAUAACUACUCGAAAGAGUGGCUAAUACCGCAUGAGAUCUACGGAUGAAAGCAGGGGAUCGCAAGACCUUGUGCUACUAGAGCGGCCGAUGGCAGAUUAGGUAGUUGGUGGGAUAGAAGCUUACCAAGCCGACGAUCUGUAGCUGGUCUGAGAGGACGAUCAGCCACACUGGGACUGAGACACGGGCCAGACUCCUACGGGAGGCAGCCGUGGGGAAUUUUGGACAAUGGGCGAAAGCCUGAUCCAGCAAUGCCGCGUGCAGGAUGAAGGCCUUCGGGUUGUAAACUGCUUUUGUACGGAACGAAAAGCCCCGGGUUAAUACCCUGGGGUCAUGACGGUACCGUGAGAAUAAGCACCGGCUAACUACGUGCCAGCCGCCGCCGUAA
rnacentral:rRNA from 1 species